AAAAAGCUCGUAUUUGGAUUUCUGUGUUGGUGAGGCGGCCGGCCACUCGUGGUUGUAGCUAGUUAUCACCGGCGCAUCUUGUCACAAGCCACGCUGGCCUUAACUGGUUGGCGUUGGGGACUGACUCGUUUACUUUGAGAAAAUUAGAGUGUUCAAAGCAGGCUAUCGCCUUGAAUAUGUUAGCAUGGAAUAAUGAUAUAGGACUUUGGUUCUAUUUUGUUGGUUGUUCGAGAACCGAAGUAAUGAUUGAUAGGGACAGUUGGGGGCAUCAGUAUUCUGAAGCGAGAGGUGAAAUUCUUGGACCUUCGGAAGACUAACAACUGCGAAAGCAUUUGCCUAGGAUGUUCUCUUUAAUCAAGAACGAAAGUUGGGGGAUCGAAGACGAUCAGAUACCGUCGUAGUCUCAACUAUAAACUAUGCCAGCUAGGGAUUGGUGGACGUUUAUUUACGACUCCAUCAGCACCUUAUGAGAAAUCAAAGCAUUUGGGUUCCGGGGGGAGUAUGGUCGCAAGGCUGAAACUUAAAAGGAAU
rnacentral:rRNA from 1 species